rnacentral:rRNA from 1 species
AACGAACGCUGGCGGCAGGCCUAACACAUGCAAGUCGAACGCUCCGCAAGGAGAGUGGCAGACGGGUGAGUAACACGUGGGAAUCUUCCUAUCGGUACGGAAUAGCUCAGGGAAACUUGAGGUAAUACCGCAUACGCCCUUCGGGGGAAAGAUUUAUCGCCGAUAGAUGAGCCCGCGUCUGAUUAGCUAGUUGGUGGGGUAAUGGCCUACCAAGGCGACGAUCAGUAGCUGGUCUGAGAGGAUGACCAGCCACACUGGGACUGAGACACGGCCCAGACUCCUACGGGAGGCAGCAGUGGGGAAUAUUGGACAAUGGGCGCAAGCCUGAUCCAGCCAUGCCGCGUGAGUGACGAAGGUCUUCGGAUUGUAAAGCUCUUUUGCCAGGGACGAUAAUGACGGUACCCGCAGAAUAAGCCCCGGCUAACUUCGUG